CCCACGCUAUAUAAACAGAGGUGGGGGCCGGGGCACGACUUACGAGGUUAAUCGCUGCCACAAUCCCCACCUACAAUCCCUACCGAUCUAGGGUUAGCGCAGUGCUCACGGGAAGCUCCACCACCGCCGCCGUCCACUCUCUGUCCACAUCGUUACCGGCCCCUACUUCACCAUGGCCGGCGCUGGAUCGAGCUCGUUUGGACAUGAUCUAACCUAUCCAAUCCAAAGCAAUCUAUCAGCACGCAGUUGCGCGCGGCGACCGCGGGAGGUUUCAGCGAGCGGCCGCAUUGCUGCGGCAGGAGGAGCAGCGCGGGCUUCCGGCGACGAGGCUCCGUCGCGCGAACCAAGACGCGGACUCGACGGGAUUCCGGCGUCAGAAGCAGCGGCUGGGGCCACGCGGCGACUCCGGGACGCCGCUGCCCGAUUCCGGCGCGAAGGCUACGUCGCGCGAAUCACGGCGACCUUGACCAAGAAGGAGGGGUUCGUGCCGCGCGGCGGCCGGUGCUGGUGAGUUUGGGUCGGCACGUCGCGAUGGCGGCGAGCCUGCUCGGCGGCCCACGGUUGGACCUUGGAGCCGCGCGAAGAGAAGGGGAUCCACUCCAAACCCAGCACAGUUCUCUGUGAUGGUGUGGUGUAAAUCAAAGCUACAUGAGGUGAGGUUGAAGUAGCUGUUCUGGCUGCUCGCAGUGCAGUCUUCCCCAAUGCCGAAGGGGUAUGGGAUGGGCACUUCUCCGCACUUGUCAGGGCAGCCUGGCAACGGCAUGGAGCGGUCGGAUGAGGCUCCGGCCGCUGCUGCCAUUGCUGGAAAGGAGAUGCAUACUAUGGAAACUAGCAGGGCUGCUGAUGCUCCUGGCAUGACUGGAUGCCAACAACCCAGUUAAAUCAGUAUGUGGUAUAUAUGCUUGUCUCUAGAAAAGAAAAUUUGCAAGUUGCCAUGUGAUUCAUCUGAGAGAGUCUCCAGCAGUCAGUCAACUAGCACAAGUGGUAUCACUGUAUCAGAGUGUACGUUAACACGCAGGGGAGACUUUGACCGUGAUUGUGUGCUUGCCUUCAUUUCGAAUUGCUGCUUUUGUCAAUGGUUUCACACCCCUCAUCUGAGAUCUUCUAUGGUUCCCAGGAAAUCAGAUGGUUUGGUGUUGGUGGUAACGUGAAGGAGGAUGAAUCAUCGUAGAUUGGCUGGUUGAAGCCUACACAUUAAAAAAAAUCAACAAGGUGAGAACACCACGGUUCCAACCUUUAUGUAUUAAAGAAAAACAAUUAUUUAGCAUACACAUACGCUCUUGUGCUGGAUGGGGACUUUUAUUUAGGUCAGCUGGAUCAUAUCAACAUUCAUGUAUUGAGAAGCAUGAGAAAACCAGGAGGGAGUGGUGAAUUUUCUUGAUUCGACAAUGUGCUGGCUUGCAUUCUCAGAGGCUGGUCAGCUGGAGCAUGACAACACUCAUUGUAUUGACUAUUGAAGAGCAUGAGGAGACGAGAGCAGCGGUGCAGCACGGAGCAGUGCUGACACCUCCGCAGGCUGCGCCUUCUGGGGCCGGUCCUCGAGCUCCGCCUAGGAAAUCCAGUUGUCCGCAUAGUAUGUAUAGUUCCUGAUGAUUGAUUAUUAUUGAUUGGUUGCAAUGGCUAUUGUGUGGUCGAGGCAUUUGGAGGAGAUAAUUUUUGUUGGGGCUUGCCAGGCGCUUGGGUUGGGUUGCUCAUGUACUCUAAGUAGAUCGUUCCUGACAGUAGCAGUUUGCUGUUGUUUGCUAGUUGAAGUAGGAGUUGCUUUUGUAGUAGCAGUUAUAGAUCUAAGUAACCUUGCUGGCCUUGUUGUGCCCGGCAAAACAAUCUACGAAUAUUAUGAAUGAAUGAAUGAAUGAAUGGAUGGAUGGUUUCAUGGUGCA